rnacentral:misc_RNA from 1 species
UACGUAGGUGGCAAGCGUUGUCCGGAAUUAUUGGGCGUAAAGCGCACGCAGGCGGUCUGAUGAGUUAGAAGUGAAAGCCCUGGGCUCAACCCGGGAAUUGCUUUUAAUACUGUCAGGCUUGGAUCCGUGAGAGGGUAGUGGAAUUCCGAGUGUAGAGGUGAAAUUCGUAGAUAUUCGGAAGAACACCAGUGGCGAAGGCGACUACCUGGCACGGCAUCGACGCUCAUGUGCGAAAGCGUGGGGAGCAAACAGG